rnacentral:rRNA from 1 species
UACAGAGGUCCCAAGCGUUGUUCGGAUUCACUGGGCGUAAAGGGUGCGCAGGUGGGUUGCAAGUUUGAUGUGAAAGCCCCGGGCUUAACCCGGGAAUGGCAUUGAAUACUGCAGAUCUGGAGGAUUGGAGGGGGACUGGAAUUCUUGGUGUAGCAGUGAAAUGCGUAGAUAUCAAGAGGAACACCAGUGGCGAAGGCGAGUCCCUGGACAAUACCUGACACUGAGGCACGAAAGCUAGGGGAGCAAACAGGAUUAGACUACCGUGGU